rfam:Basidiobolus meristosporus CBS 931.73 K493scaffold_371, whole genome shotgun sequence.
GCCUCCUUGGCUCAGUUGGCAGAGCGUCUGCCUAGUAAGCAGAAGGUCGCUGGUUCGAUUCCGGCAGAAGGCA